rnacentral:ncRNA from 2 species
GCCGCAUAACCCGCAUAAGGUGCAAGGUGUAGGGAACGCGGUUCAAGACCGUGGCUGCCCCCGCAACUGUAACCGGCGAGCAAGGCCCGAAAGGACCACUGGCGUCCGCGAGGACGCUGGGAAGGUGGGCCAAGCGUGAGACCCGGAAGCCAGGAAACCUGCCUUGCGCCGUCGUCUUGC